ensembl:lncRNA
GCUUCAUGUUCAGGAAGGAGUCCUGUGAUGAAACACAAAGAGGCUCAAAGCUGCGUGAAGCCGGAUCAGGACCAAACUGAGAGCGGUUCUGUAGAGUCUGCAUGAGUCCUGAUCUCUAAGUGAUUAAUAACUAAUCAAACGUUCCUCACAGUAACGUCUGAUGAACACGAUCCCUUAUGGAGGGAACCAGCAUGCUGAGUCCUCACGUGAUCUGGUCUCCACUAAAGGCUCAAACCUGCAGAGCUGCUGCUGUUCUCACACGUUCUCACCACAACGCUUCCUCUUCACUUCUGAGGAAACAACCACCAGAUGCAAAGAGGAAGAAACUCAUCCUCAGAGCUCCGACACGUCGUCUCUAUGAGCACGACGAGGAAGUGACGCUGUGCAACCAGAGGAAGCAGAAGCUGCAUCUGUGAGGAAGAAGCACUCGGUCAGACGCCUUGAGGAGCAGAGACACCAUGGUGGAACUCAGAGGGACUCAAAGGACUUUAUGUGUGAUGCUGCUGCUGCUUCAGGCUGCAGUAAGAGGACAAACCCCCCCUGUCCCCCGCUUCCUCGUCAGAGCCGGAGAUGACGUCACUUUGCCUUCUAAUCAGGACAGAUGUAACGGAUCUACUUGGCUUCACAGUCGUAGUGAUCCAGCUGUGGAGCUGGUUACACUUGGGAAGAUUAAGAAUAACGCUUUGAUUCCAGAAGCUAAAACCAACAGACUGAGUUUGACAGCAAACUGUUCUCUGGUUAUAAGAAACGUCUCAGGUGAAGGUGUUGGUCGUUACACCAACAGACAUUAUGAUGAAGGAGGAAAACAUCAAGGUCCAGAUGGUGUGGUCUCUCUGUACGUGUUUACAAUAAGAGGACAAACCCCCCCUGACCCCCGCUUCCUCGUCAGAGCCGGAGAUGACGUCACUUUGCCUUCUAACCAUGUGGAUCAGGACAGAUGUGACGGUUCUACUUGGCUUUACAAUCGUACUGAUUCAUCUGUGGAGCUGGUUACACUUGGGAAGAUUAAUAAUAACGCUUUGAUUCCAGAAGCUAAAAGCAACAAACUGAGUUUGACAGCAAACUGUUCUCUGGUUAUAAGAAGCGUCUCAGGUGAAGAUGUUGGUCGUUACACCAACAGAGAUUUUAAUGAAGCAGGAAAACAACAAGGUCCAGAUGGUGUGGUCUCUCUGUCCAUGUUUACAAUGGAGGAAAAGGACUACGGGGGUCUGGUUGUGUUUUCCUGCUUUGUGUUGAGAUUCUCUGAGUGUGAACACACAGUAGAGUGGCUUUAUGACGGCAAACAGACUGAUGUGAUGAUGUCACACGCUGCUUGUGAAGCCACUGUGACGUUUAAAGCUCCUCUUCAUCAGAAGUCAAAGUAUUAUAAGUCACUGAGAUGUGAAGUGAGAGACAAUCAGAGCGGAAAAACUCUGCUGUUUGAAGCCUGCAGUCAGUUCUCAUCUGAACAAACAGGAGGCCCAUCGGGGGAGGGAAACAUUACACCACCUGCACCACCAGUCUCCUCAGGUAGUAAAGGAGGAGGAGGCCCAUCGCGGGAGGGAAACAUUACUCCACCUGCACCACCAGUCUGGUGGCCGUGGCUCGUCAUCCCGCUGGUGGGUUUAUUGGUCCUCUUCAUCAUCCUCGUGGUCUUCAUCAGAUGGAGAAAUCAAGGGAAAAGAACACAGACGGACGAAAACAUCGCCGACCCCGAGGAAGGCGUAGCCUACGCCUCCGUCAGCUACACCAGGACGGCCGGCGGAGGAGCCCGGGCUCGAGUCAAAGAUGGCGACGAUGCGGUGACUUACUGCACUGUGAAAGCUCCGCCUCCUGCUUCUUCUUCUGGUGCCGGAGCCUCCGUUGAUCCCAGUGACCUCUACGCGGUCGUCAACAAACCCAACAAAUAAGAGGCUACGUUGAUGAUUGUAAACCAAGUCAAGCUUUCUUCAUCACGUUCACUCACUGCUGAGAUGAAUUGAGCCAUUUAGUAAAAUGUUUAGAGCAUUUUACAUUCAUUGAUGAUUUUAUUUGAAUAACCUGAAUGUUCCCACCAGAUAAAUCAGAUUAUUAUUGGAAAAAGGAGUAAAACAAGACUGAAAAUGUAAAUAUGAUAAUAUUAACACAUAGUUUUGCAUUUAAAGUGCGCAUUUUUGAUUACAUUUUACAUUUUUUACAUUAUGAUCAUUUUGUUAUGAUAGUAUGAUUUAUUCCUUUUGCAAUUGUUGGAUAAAAAAAAGCCUUUCUAUCCAGAACAGGGUGUAGUAAGUUAACGUGUUUUAUAUUUAUUGAUAAUUUUAUUUGAAUAACCUGUUCCCACCAGAUCAAUCAAUGGAGGCAUACUGAGAAUGUAAAUAUGAUAAUAAUGAAACAUAGUUUUGCAUUUAAAGUGAGCAUUUGACCACGUUUUUUUACAUUAUGAUAAUUUUGUUGUGAUAAUUUGUUGUUUGUUGGAUUUGUUGCUUUUGCGAUUGUUCUUCAUGUCCUCAUGAAAUAAACUAGUAACAUAUAGUUUAUCAGGGUUCAUAGUCCAGAUUAAUUGUUUUUUAUUAUAUAUUCCUGUAAUAGUUUCACCUCGUGGAUGUUGAGUUUGCUUUGAACUAAAUAAAAGACAGAAAGGAAGUGCGUUGUGAUCCAGAACCUGUUUGAGCCUCCAGAAACGUCCCGAACACGACAGAGCACAAAGACACCGAGUCCGGGUCUGAAGGUCCAGACGUUCCCCUUCUGGGGCCUCUAGGAGGCUCUCAGGGCGACUGUGGAGAUCAGGGUCCUCCUUCAAACACCGGUUCGGAGGUCAGAUCCCC